UAGCUGCCGUCAAAAGCAACUCUCACAUUUAAGUUCAUUUUAUUGGAUUUAAUGUUGAAACAAUUAGUAGUUGAAAUAGUAAGAAAUAAUAAAUAAAUAGUAAUUCAUGUUCUGUUCAUUAGAUUUAUAUGUUUAAAUGUGUAUUUGUGCUAACUGUGCAAUUAGAUAGGAACCUUUUCUAUCGUUCCGUCUGUUGUUGCUGAGAGGGCAUUUUUCUUGGUGGGCACACUCAGCAAGCUAAUUAAGAGACGAGCCACGAGGUUUGCACGUCUACAGAAAGUUGUGAAGAGUGUUUUGGACUACCCCACGACGUGAGGAUUAAAGUUUUUAUUCCCUUUGAGUGAGGCCAAUGAGUUCUGACGGCAUUGUAUCGGCUGUGGUUGGACGUCAUUACAUGUUAAGGCAUGUCGAAGAAUCCUCCUGUCCGAAAUAAAUGUCAGUUUAAAACCAAAGAACAAGUUGAGCUUUAUUAAGACUCGAGGGGAGUAACAGUCAGAACUCAGCCUGCUUCGUGCUGGAGGAGAGAGAAGGAGAAAGAGGUCUGCCGCAGCGGAGCCGAGCCGACAGCCGAGCGAACGGGGCCGAGUGGCAGCGGAGCCGAGCCGACAGCCGAGAGAGCGGAGCGGAGCUGAGCCGACAGCGCGCGGGGUCACGUGGUUAAGCUCGCGUCUCUCUCAAGCAUCAAAGACACCCAAACACACACACAGACAUCCCAUAAGGCAACCAGAGUCCAGUGGUGCAGCUUGCUUAAGCUACAAAUAAGUAACACGUUUAUACAAGUUAAAUGUGGAGAGUAGAUUUCCUUAGCUCAUCUUAAAGGGACUCUGUCAAGCAAUGAAAGGGGAAGUGUGGUGGUUUUGGAGUAAAAGUUUAAGUUCAUGUUAUUAGUUGUUUAUGCUAAGUAACUGCAAUUAAGGUACGUUUAAGUUGAUUAUAAGGGUUUGCUUAUUUUUAAGACUGCAUUAGAUAUUUAAAGGUCACAUUAUAGUAUUUUGUUUGACAUUGAAGGUUAUUUUCUGUUUAACUACAAGUGAAGAACAAUUUAUUAUUUUGGUUUAAGUGAUGGUGACCUAUAUUUAAGUUGACUCUUUAAAAGUAAAGCAAUUUAAGUUCCUAGGUGCUUCAUAAGGUGACCAUUCACGUAUUUAAGUGGACCUAGGUGACUUGAGUGUAGUAUAACACCUUUGACUGUCUGUGACAUGGAGCAAGAAGGCUGUGACACUGAAGCUGUGGAGCAGCAAGAAGCUUUUGAAGAGCAAGAAAGUUUGCAAGAACCAUGCACAAGUAAAGCUCCUAAAGAAGGAAGUUUGAGGAAAAGUCAAAGAGUUAAGAAGUUCACUGAAAGGGGCCAAGCACUACAUGAUGAAAAGGUGAACAAGCUUCAAGCUCGCUUUAAAGUCAGUUAUGAAAGGUGGAAAGUUGUGGCAAAACAAGGCAAAAAA